rnacentral:rRNA from 1 species
GUGUCAGCAGCCGCGGUAAUACGGAGGGUGCAAACGUUGCUCGGAAUCAUUGGGCGUAAAGCGCGCGUAGGCGGCUGAACAAGUUGGAUGUGAAAGCCCUGGGCUCAACCUAGGAUGUGCAUUCAAAACUGUUCGGCUUGAAUCUCGGAGGGGGUCAGAGAAUUCUCGGUGUAGAGGUGAAAUUCGUAGAUAUCGGGAGGAACACCAGUGGCGAAGGCGCUGACCUGGACGAAGAUUGACGCUGAGGCGCGAAAGCGUGGGGAGCAAACAGGAUUAGAAACCCUCGUAGUCC